UACGUAGGGUGCAAGCGUUGUCCGGAAUUAUUGGGCGUAAAGAGCUCGUAGGUGGCGGGUCACGUCGGAUGUGAAAGCCCGGGGCUUAACCCCGGGUCUGCAUUCGAUACGGGCUUGCUAGGGUCCGGCAGGGGAGACUGGAAUUCCUGGUGUAGCGGUGAAAUGCGCAGAUAUCAGGAGGAACACCGGUGGCGAAGGCGGGUCUCUGGGCCGGUACCGACGCUGAGGAGCGAAAGCGUGGGGAGCGAACAGG
rnacentral:rRNA from 1 species